ACUGAACGCUGGCGGCAUGCCUUACACAUGCAAGUCGAACGGCAGCAUGAUCUAGCUUGCUAGAUUGAUGGCGAGUGGCGAACGGGUGAGUAAUACAUCGGAACGUGCCCUGUAGUGGGGGAUAACUAGUCGAAAGAUUAGCUAAUACCGCAUACGACCUGAGGGUGAAAGUGGGGGACCGCAAGGCCUCAUGCUAUAGGAGCGGCCGAUGUCUGAUUAGCUAGUUGGUGAGGUAAAGGCUCACCAAGGCGACGAUCAGUAGCUGGUCUGAGAGGACGAUCAGCCACACUGGGACUGAGACACGGCCCAGACUCCUACGGGAGGCAGCAGUGGGGAAUUUUAGACAAUGGGGGCAACCCUGAUCCAGCAAUGCCGCGUGUGUGAAGAAGGCCUUCGGGUUGUAAAGCACUUUUGUCCGGAAAGAAAUCGCACUUACUAAUAUUAGGUGUGGAUGACGGUACCGGAAGAAUAAGGACCGGCUAACUACGUGCCAGCCGCCGCGGUAAUAC
rnacentral:rRNA from 1 species